rnacentral:rRNA from 1 species
UUGACAUCCAGCGAACUUGGCAGAGAUGCCUUGGUGCCUUCGGGAACGCUGAGACAGGUGCUGCAUGGCUGUCGUCAGCUCGUGUUGUGAAAUGUUGGGUUAAGUCCGCAACGAGCGCAACCCCUUUAUCCUUUGUUGCCAGCGAUUCGGUCGGGAACUCAAAGGAGACUGCCGGUGAUAAACCGGAGGAAGGUGGGGAUGACGUCAAGUCAUCAUGGCCCUUACGAGUAGGGCUACACACGUGCUACAAUGGCGCAUACAAAGAGAAGCGACCUCGCGAGAGCAAGCGGACCUCAUAAAGUGCGUCGUAGUCCGGAUCGGAGUCUGCAACUCGACUCCGUGAAGUCGGAAUCGCUAGUAAUCGUGGAUCAGAAUGCCACGGUAAAUACGUUCCCGGGCCUUGUACACACCGCCCGUCACACCAUGGGAGUGGGUUGCAAAAGAAGUAGGUAGCUUAACCUUCGGGAGGGCGCUUACCACUUUGUGAUUCAUGACUGGGGUGAAGUCGUAACAAGGUAGGCGUAGCGAG